CCAAAACUCAGAUCCACCACUGUCGUCACAAUCUCACCGGUAAAAGUCUCUUCCCUCACCAAUCUUCAGCUCCUACACCGAAAACCUCCAAAACUUAGGGUUUCUUCCCUCUUUUGGAAUUUCUUUCCAUUUUGACCGGUUAAAUCCUUCUUUGCCGAUUAAAACACCAUUCCCACCGUUUAAUCGGUCCAAAUUGAGUUUUCCCCUUCUUCUAGGGUUUUGUCGGUCUA
rnacentral:lncRNA from 1 species